rnacentral:lncRNA from 1 species
AAUCAUUACAGUCUAAUUUUUCUUUCUCGUAUUUAGAUGUCAAAUGAUCCAAAAGUCUCUGGAGUCCUCUGUGUGAUCUUCGAGGACUCGUCAACCUGAAAACAGAACAGGAUGCAGGUGUUUCAACUGUGGAUGCCAUAGUGAUGCUGUGCUCUUCCUCUCCCCUGCCUUGCCCCCAUGAGGAAGAGUCAAGGCUGGAUGGAGCGAGUGUAGGGAAGGAUUUUCUCAUAAUCUGAAAGCCCAUGAAGAUCUCUAGACUACCAGAUAAGAGGCCCUCAAGAUGCUGAAUUCUGGGGGAGAACUUCUCCAGGAGACAAGAAGCAAAGGCAAGUGAGCUGGAGGGGGAAAAGA